UACGGGGGGGGCAAGCGUUUGUUCGGAAUUACUGGGCGUAAAGGGCUCGUAGGCGGCCAACUAAGUCGGAUGUGAAAUCCCCAGGCUUAACCUGGGAACUGCAUCCGAUACUGGAUGGCUUGAAUCCGGGAGAGGGAUGCAGAAUUCCAGGUGUAGCGGUGAAAUGCGUAGAUAUCUGGAGGAAUACCGGUGGCGAAGGCGGCAUCCUGGACCGGCAUUGACGCUGAGGAGCGAAAGCUAGGGGAGCAAACGGGG
rnacentral:rRNA from 1 species